UGUGGUGUAUAGCUCAGUGGUAGAGCACUUGCCUAGCAUGCACAAAGCCUCUGGGUUUCAUCCCUAGCACCACAA
rnacentral:tRNA from 1 species